rnacentral:ribozyme from 1 species
GAAGCAUUCCGCCAUUUUUCUUGGAAGGAGAGGAGAGAAAGAACCCGAAAUGAACGGAAUAAACGUUUUGUUUGAACAGAUGAAAACGUUUCCUUUUUUUUUCUUUGUUUCUCUUUUUACUGGUGUGCUUCACAAAGACA